AUGAAGGACCGCCGCAGCGGCGCCGGCUUCUCCUUCUCCAUCGGCUGCAUGUCGCAGUCCGCCGUCGCCGUCGCCGAACCGCUCGACAAGAAGCCACCAGCACCGGCGCCGCAGCCGCAGCAGGAGGCCGACACCCCCUCCUCCUCCACCACGACCACGGCGGCCACCGCACAGGAGAGAGGCGCCGGAGAAGAAAGCAGCGAGGACAAGGCCAGAACCGCGGCGGCGGCGUCAGGGGUCGUCACGGCGGGGGUGCAGCGGCUGCUCAAGGGAAUCAAGACCUUCUUCGCGGCCUACGACGGCGAGGAGGACGAGGAGGAGGAGGAUAGGGAGAUCGUGAUCGGGUACCCCACCGACGUGCAGCACGUCGGGCACAUCGGCUGGGACGGCCUCAACAAGGUGGGCGGCAUGGGCGUGGGCAUGGGCAUGGUCGGCGCCUUCUCCCAGCCCUCCUCCCUCUCCCUCCGCCAGCUCGAGAUCGCCAUGGACCCCGGCGCCGUCGCCACCACCUGCAUCAACUGA
rnacentral:rRNA from 1 species